rnacentral:rRNA from 1 species
UCGAGAAUCUUUCACAAUGGGGGCAACCCUGAUGGAGCGACGCCGCGUGGAGGAUAAGGUCUUCGGAUUGUAAACUCCUGUCAUGCGAGAGCAAUGUGAGCGGGCUAACACCCCGCGAAACUGAUAGUAUCGCAAGAGGAAGAGACGGCUAACUCUGUGCCAGCAGCCGCGGUAAUACAGAGGUCUCAAGCGUUGUUCGGAAUCACUGGGCGUAAAGGGUGCGUAGGUGGCGUUGCAAGUCAGAUGUGAAAGCCCGGGGCUCACCCUCGGAACUGCAUCCGAUACUGCAAUGCUGGAGAACUGGAGGGGAGUCUAGAAUUCACGGUGUAGCAGUGAAAUGCGUAGAUAUCGUGAGGAAUACCAAAGGCGAAGGCCGGACUCUGGACAGUUUCUGACACUG